AUGCGCAGCGUGCAGCUGAACAGGAGACCACAGCAGCUGAACAGGAGACCACAGCAGAUCAACAGGAGACCACAGCAGAUCAACAGGAGACCACAGCAGAUCAUCAGGAGACCACAGCAGAUCAACAGGAGACCACAGCAGCUGAACAGACCACAGCAGAUCAACAGGAGACCACAGCAGCUGAACAGACCACAGCAGAUCAGCAGGAGACCACAGCAGAUCAACAGGAGACCACAGCAGCUGAACAUACCACAGCAGAUCAACAGGAGAACACAGCAGAUCAACAGGAGACCAUAGCAGCUCAACAGGAGACCACAGCAGCUGAACAGGAGACCACAGCAGCUCAACAGGAGACCACGGCAGCUCAACAGGAGACCACAGAAUCUCAACAGGAGACCACAGCAGAACCAGGGGGUUCUGGCGAUCAACAUGGCUCCACCAAAUACUCCACCAGCGUGUCUAAGUGUGUGUGCGUGUGUGUGCGUGUGCCUGUGUGUGUCUGAGUCAGUCUGUGUGUGUGCCUGUGUGUGCGUGUGCCUGUGUGUGUCUGAGUCAGUCUGUGUGUGUGUGUGUGUGUGUGCCUGUGUGCCUGUCUAUGUCUGUGCUGGGGGAGUAGGAUAAUGUGCUGUGUCAACACACACACACACACACACACACACACACACACACACACUCACACACUCUCUCUCACACACACACACACACACACACACACACACACACACACACACACACACACACACACACACACACACACACACCAACCAACCAGACAGCCGGGGUAGAAGAAUAAACACAGACACACCCUCAGGAAAACCGCCCCCUCACAUCCUCAUCCUCCUCCCAGAUCGUGUGUCACGCUCCCCGUUCGUUGCCCUGGGUGAGGACAGAAUAACUAACAGACCAAGGGUUUUGUUGUAGCUAAGACUAGCUACUGUGAAAUGUGUUUUGAUAGGGCCUGUGGGCAAUCUGGGCAUCUACAGUUAAACGUAGCCGUGGGUGGGGUAGGCAUUGGAAUAACAUUGUUACCGCUGUCCGGUAACACUGGGAGUGCAUCCCAAAUGGCACUCUAUUCCCAUUUAUACUGCAUUACUUCGGGCUUUGGUCAAAAGUAGUGCACUUGAUAGGAAGUAGGGUGCUAUUUGGGGCAUAACACUGGAUUAGGAUACCGUUAAGAAGUAGGAAAGGUUAUGCUGCUGCUACUGUUUAUUUUGGUGAAAGGAGAAGUCUGAGGGGAAUAUGAGAAAGCAGGCAGAAAGGGUGUAUUCUGUAGUACAUGUGAAAACUACUAUAAAUCUUUCCUGCACCACUAUAUCAAAACAUGCCAUCAAAUCUACUUGUCUCUUUAGUUUUUCCACUGCGUCUCUUUCAUUUCGUUGUAGACAGACAUCAUUAAGUCACAUGCUCUUUAACAUCCUCAAGUAGAAGUGCGGAGGGGGAAUGGGGGCCAUGUAUGAGACAGGGUCCCCCUGCACCCCCCCCGGGAGUGUAGACAGGACCUCCCCCCUCCAUCCAUUAUGGACCUCCCCCACACCUUCAUUGUGGCCUGGCAGACACCUGUCUCUCUCUCUCUCUCUCUCUCUCUCUCUCACACACACACAAUGUUGCUGUCCAGAACUAAUCUUAAUCUGGGAAACUGUCUGUUGAUGUUUGCUUUCCAUUUGGUCUCUUUGAGGAGAAGCAGUCUGAUGGGUUGAAGAAUUUGGUCACUGUCUACAGGAAGUUUAAAUAUUACACGUGAGCUGUAGCUCAGAGCAUCAGAGGUUAAUCUAACUCUGUAACUGCGGAGAGUAAGAGAAAGAUUCAACACUCUUUUUAGCUGGUCAUGCCAGAAAAUGGACAGUAUGUUGACAGUAUGAGCUAUGUCAAGAAUCAAACCUUUGUACCUGAAUACAGCAGCAACAAGCUACAAGUCUAACAUGUAGUGCAGGCAAAUUCAAAUCUGGACCUCGAAGCCAGUUCCACUGCUGAUUUUCAUUGUUCCCUUCUAAUCAAGGACUCAUUUAGACCUGGGACACCAGGUGGGUGCAAUUCAUUAUCAGGUAGAACAGGUAAAACAACCAGGCUGGAAAACCAGCAGUACUCCAGACCUCCAGGCUCAGAUUAGAAUACGCCUGCUGAAGUGUAUCGAGUUAAUGCUAGAAAUAGUUAGCAUUAGUAUUAGUUCCUGAGGGAAAUAGCUAGCAUUAGGAAUAGUUCCUGAGGGAAAUAGUUAGCAUUAGUAGUAGUUCCUGAGGGAAAUAGUUAGCAUUAGUAAUAGUUCCUGAGGGAAAUAGUUGACAUUAGUAGUGGUACCUGAGGGAAAUAGUUGGCAUUAGUAGUAGUUCCUGAGGGAAAUAGUUAGUAUUAGUAGUGGUACUGAGGGAAAUAGUUAGCAUUAGUAGUGGUACCUGAGGGAAAUAGUUGUCAUUAGUAGUAGUUCCUGAGGGAAAUAGUUAGUAUUAGUAGUGGUACUGAGGGAAAUAGUUGGCAUUAGUAGUGGUACCUGAGGGAAAUAGUUGGCAUUAGUAGUAGUUCCUGAGGGAAAUAGUUAGUAUUAGUAGUGGUACUGAGGGAAAUAGUUGGCAUUAGUAGUGGUACCUGAGGGAAAUAGUUGGCAGACAAGCUGUGGGCUUUUUAUGGUAGCUUCAACGCUUCAAAGCCAGACUAUAAAGAAUGGAAGGUGGCUGCAGUUCGGUCCAAAGUACAACGUGACUGGUAUGUCUCUCAGGGUGUUCGACAUGAAGGCAAGGCGCUCAUUCAGGAUACAUUGGCUGAGUCAGAGCUCAUUUACUCACUGUAUCCACACAGUUUGUAAUUAACAACCUUGGUUACAUCAAUGUGACUGAUAAUUACUUAAUUGAACCUGAACUGGCCGUUUAGGGUAUGUCUAAUUGCGUUUUGGGAAAUGUAAUGUGUGUUAGGGUCCACUACGCCUUACGGUAAGUGGCCCUGAUGGGUUAAGAUUAUUUGCGUUUGGCUCGGUUACCAGUCUAAAUAGGUGUUUUGUGUGCAUGUAGAUAGGAGAAUAAAAAGAGGUUGCUCUCAGGCAGAGUGAAGGGAAAUGAACACAUCAACAUUAACAGUAAUGUUAAUGUUGAUAGCAAUAGUGUUGAUAGUUAGUGUUAUUGAUGUUGAUGAUUUUCUUGUUCAUAAUGACUUGUCACUGAUAUUCUUAAUCUCGUCUCUCCCAUCGUCCUAUGUGUUCCUGAGGUUGAUAAUAGUCUGAACAGGCACACUAUUCCCUAACUGGCACACUAUUCCACACUAUUCCCCUAUAGGAAAUAGGGUGCCACUUUGAAUACAAUUAUAGUGUGUAAACCAUUCUGUAGCUUGUCCUAGGGGCAAGGGUGGUCCCAACUAGCAUGGUACAAACCAUCCUGAUCUCCUGAGUUUACAUUCUGUAGUUUGUCCUAGGGGCAAGGGUGGUCCCAACUAGCAUGGUACAAACCAUCCUGAUCUCCUGAGCUUACAUUCUGUAGCUUGUCCUAGGUGCAAGGGUGGUCCCAACUAGCAUGGUACAAACCAUCCUGAUCUCCUGAGCUUACAUUCUGUAGCUUGUCCUAGGGGCAAGGGUGGUCCCAACUAGCAUGGUACAAACCAUCCUGAUCUCCUGAGCUUACAUUCUGUAGCGAAAUAGAAUGUAAGAUCGAGAGAUCAGGAUGGUUCGUACGAGGCAAACAAAUUCAAAUUCACCUAUGGAUUUCAUAUAGGAUUUGUUAUUGGUCUCCUAAUCUCAAUUCUCAGCCACUAGUUAAGCAAAUACAUUCAUGUUUGAGUCUGACCCCAAGUGCAAAACUUUACAUUUUAGUUGACCCUUUCAUCCAGAGCAAUUUGGGCACAUUGACAGAUUUUUCACCCAGUCGGAUUGAGGAUUCGAACCAGCCAACUUUAGUUUACUGGCGCAACACUCUUAACUGCUAGGCUACCUGCCACCCUGUGUUUAUGUAGGGUUUAUGUUUCACUGAUACACUCUCCUUUUGGGAGAAUAACAUGACUGUGGAGAUGGAGCGCCGGAGGCUAAUAAUAUGUGUUGACAGAUUGUGCUGUCUAUCGCUCCUGUGUCAUUUUCAUAUCAUCUGGAGGAAGAUGCCUUAGUGGUUCGGAAGAGGGUGACCGGAUUAGAAUUCCAUGCAGCUCCGAGAGUGUCGUCACAUAAUUAUUCCACAUAAAGGGAGAACAGCACUUUAUUUGAAGGCCCAUAAAAGCGACAGCCUGUGGGGCUGAGUCUGAUAAGAUACACAGUUAACUCAAGGAAGAGAGUAAUGCCCCCCUGUGCCCUCUCUCUGUCAACGGCACGCAGGGCCUGACCACUGUUUCCCCCUCCAGGCCCAUUAAUAUUCCCAACACAGCUGAACCUGUCCCCUAUGUCCUGCCUUCCGCCCAGCGUGCCGGGCCGCUGGCCGUUAGCCUCUCUGCAC
rnacentral:lncRNA from 1 species